ACCCUAUAUCUACCCACGUCCACAAACCUUCGUUAGUUUAAGCCAGCAUUUCUCCACAAUGGGUCGCCUUUCCACAGUUGUAGUUUUGAUUGCGUUAACGCAAUAUGUUUUUGUAUCUGCCAAUACAAUACAUAAGGAUAUUGAAGAAGUAGGCGCUAUUGAGAAAAUUGAUGCUCCCGAAGCACCAGCCGUUGCACAACCGAAUAUUGUAUCAAAUGAGUUCAAAUGCGCUAAGCUGGGUGAAGAUUGCAUUUUUCACAAUGACUGCUGCUCCCGCGCUUGCCUUGGCUACAGUAAGAAAUGUGUAACUUAGGUAAUGCUGAUGAAGAUAAGAAUAAAAUGUAUGUACAUAUUUAUAUUGUUACCGAAAAUUCUAAUGAGAUUCAAAAAAUGUAAAAUGUUAAUACGAAAUAUAUGAUUGAUUUUA